rnacentral:tRNA from 1 species
GUACAUGUAAGAUGGAUAGAGCAGGCGCCUUCUAAGCGCCCGGUCGCCGGUUCGAGUCCGGCUGUGAGCGCCA